GAUGAAGAACGCAGUGAAAUGCGAUAAGUAAUGUGAAUUGCAGAAUUCAGUGAAUCAUCGAAUCUUUGAACGCACAUUGCGCCCGCCAGUAUUCUGGCGGGCAUGCCUGUCUGAGCGUCAUUUCAACCCUCAUGCCCCUAGGGCGUGGUGUUGGGGAUCGGCCAAAGCCCGCGAGGGACGGCCGGCCCCUAAAUCUAGUGGCGGACCCGUCGUGGCCUCCUCUGCGAAGUAGUGAUAUUCCGCAUCGGAGAGCGAUGAGCCCCUGCCGUUAAACCCCCAACUUUCCAAGGUUGAUCUCAGAUCAGGUAGGAAUACCCGCUGAACUUAAGCAUAUCAAUAAGCGGAGGA
rnacentral:misc_RNA from 1 species